CCAACAUGAGCGGCCUGGACGGGGUCGAGAAGACCCCUCCCGUUCAAACGCACAGCAUCCCUAUUUCUGACCACGUCUCGGGCGACCCGGACGCACGCCAGUGCCUGAGGCUCCGGGACGAAAGCGAGGCGACAGGUGAUGGCGGAGCUGGGUGUGGGAGCCUUCAGAGGAAGGGUGCGUACCCCAGGAUCCCGCGGGCCGUGGCGGUACUCCCCAGAUCCAAGUUGUGGGGGGUCGCGGUCGUGUAGCGAUCACAGCCGGGCAGGAAGAGGGCCAGCCUCCUGCCGAGGGCCUGGCAGCCGCUUCUGUGGUGGUGACAGGGGACCACAGCCUGAAAAAGGGCGUUCAGGAUGGAGAGAAGGCCCUCGAAAUCUGUGACGCCGGGAGGUCCCCGUCGGAGCUGACUGCGGGGGCGAAGGCUGAGGAGGUGAAGAGAGGAAAGUGCGCCACUGUCUCAGCAGCCAGGGCUGAGGUGGUGGUGAAGGAAGGCCUGGCGGAGAAGGAGGUAGUGGAGGAGCAGAUGGAGGUAGAGGAGCAGCCGCCAGAAGGUGAAGAAGUAGAGGCGAGGGAGGAGGAAGGGCCGUGGCGUCUGCAUGAAGCUCUCCGCAUGGACCCUCCCGAGGCCAUCCCGCAGGAACUGGACACUGACUGCUCAGGCCGAUAGGGCCUUCCAACAACUAGAGCACAAAUUUGGGCGGAUGCGUCUACACUACCUGGAGCGGAGGAACUACAUCAUUCAGAAUAUCCCGGGCUUCUGGAUGACUGCUUUUUGAAACCACCCCCAGUUGUCCGCCAUGAUCAGGGGCCAAGAUGCAGAUAUGGUAAGGUACAUAACCAAUUUAGAGGUGAAGGAACUCAGACACCCUAGAACUGCUGCAAGUUCAAGUUCUUCUUUAGAAGAAACCCCUACUUCAGAAACAAGCUGAUUGUCAAGGAAUAUGAGGUGAGAUCUUCCGGCCGAGUGGUGUCUCUUUCCACUCCAAUUAUAUGGCACAGGGGGCAUGAACCCCAGUCCUCCAUUCGCAGAAACCAAGACCUCAUCUGCAGCUUCUUCACCUGGUUCUCAGACCACAGCCUUCCAGAGUCCCACAAAAUUGCUGAAAUUAUUAAAGAGGAUCUGUGGCCAAGUCCACUGCAAUACUACCUGUUGCGUGAAGGAGUCCGUAGAGCCAGAUGUCGCCACUAAGGGAGCCAGUUGAGAUCCCCAGGCCCUUUGGGUUCCAGUCGGGUUAACGUUUGCCCUUGGGAAUACUCCUGCGCGAGGUCUCCUACCACCACCUGCUGGACCUGUGCUUGGGCAACAGAAAUGGUAUGCCUUCUACUGUGUUUUGUUUUUGCUGACUUUUCUGCACCCUCUUUCCUUUGGAUAUUCACUUCUCUCAACCUCAAGAUUGAGGCGGUGGUGGGUAUGCUUCUCCACUUCCAUGCUGUUCUGGAAUAUCACAUGCUACGACGCCAUCCUUCAGACUACUAAGCCAAGCGAAUGAUACUGUAGAUGGUACUGCCUUUAUUUGCACUGCUUGGACCCUGUUAAUUCCCAGGGCCUCUGAACUGGUUGCUGUCACCUGGAUUUCUAGCUUUAGGAGCCUAUUCUAUCUACUUAACACUGCAUCGGGCAAUAUGGGCACAUGGCCUGUGGACAGUUACUGAACGUUAAUGAACUCAGAGGAGAAAAGCAGUGGAGCUACUUGUUCUGUGUGAUUUAUGCUACUUCAUUGUUCUUCCUUCACCUCUAAUCACUUUCUGUUGCUACCUGCCCUGCUUUGGCUGCUGCCAAGGUCCCUCUCUCCCUCUUCCUUUUUGCUCCUAUUUCUCUCUUUCUUUUUUCUUUUUUUGAGACGGAGUCUUGCUAUGUCGCCCAGGCUGGAUCUCGGCUUACUGCAACCUCCGCCUCCGGGUUCAAGCAAUUCUCUUGCCUCAACCUCCCGAGUAGCUAGGACUACGGGCGCGUGCCACCAUGCCCGGCUAAUUUUUGUAUUUUUAGUAGAGACGGGGUUUCACCAUGCUGACCAGACUGGUCUCAAACUCUUGACUUAGUGAUCUGCCUGCCUCAGCCUCCCAAUCCUGUCUCUUAAAAAAAAAAAAAAAAAGUAAAA